rnacentral:lncRNA from 1 species
CUAACAGUAAGGCUGUCCUUGGCAAUACAGGGGUGUGAUGACUACAGUCAUUGGGAGGACCUAUAGGAACUGCUUUCUUAGGAAGAAAACAGAAAGCACUACAAGGAUUUAGUACCAGCAGCUUGGUCUUUUGUUGCCAGAUGGACAAGCUUGCUACUUGCCUGUGGCUUCAACAAUUAGCAAAAAAACCCCUCAAAUUUCCUUACAUUUUAGGAAAUCUCUUAGCUUUUCUACCUGUGGCUUGAAAAGUUGUCUCUUGUGAAAAAGGAAAUAGCUCAUAUAACUCUCAUGUCUUCCUUCAGUGAUUCAUUUACUCUAAAACAUGAAAGGAAAAUUCACACUUGAGGGUAGAAUCAUCAUUAAUGCUAUGUUCUCCUCUAUCCCCAGAGUGUUUCUGUGAACACCAACAAUGUAAAGCUACAACACAAUUAACUUAAUUUCCAGUGGCGGAUGAUAAUUAGCUGAAACAAAGUAUUUGAUUUCCCAGGUUUGAUUAUGUCUACCAUGGUGCAAGCAAAAUCUAUUUCUGCUUGGUUAUGCACCUGAGUAAACUGCCUUAUCAUGGCUGAUUCAGCUCUAUUAGACAGAGAUGGGUGGAUCUCCUCUUUAAAUAUAUUUUAGGUGAUUUGUAGAACUCUGGAAUGAAUUUCUCUUCAUGUAUAGUCUAAACUUAAUUUGCAAGCACCUGAAUGAGCAGAAAGAACUUUGGCAUGAUACAGGAACCUCUGUAGAGCAGGCCAACCCUCCCUGCUCCCACUGCGUACACCACAGAAACAACAACUUCGAAGCUUAUCUCUGCUAGAUGGAUUUAGGCUUCCAUGGCUUGCAUCAGAGCAGCUCUAAGCCACUUUCAGGCCAGGGUGACAUGACAAGGAUUCGAUGUGACACACACCAAACUUUGAAUGUCCCGCAGCCAGCUCCAGUGGCUCGGAUGCUGUCAUCUUCAGCCACAUCAGCAGCACUGGCUCAAUGGCUGCGUUCGUGACACAUGUCAGAAACUUUUAAACGUCUGCUCUUUUUUUCAUCAGGAUGCUUCUACAUCCUAGCGAGGGAAGAGCUGACAUUUUCUGUUUGGGUGGAAGUUGCUGUGGUCCCCUCUUCCUGCCUCCUCUAACUGUCACCCUAGGUUUCCCCUAAACAUAUCAAAAUGCAGUCAAAUAAACCUUGUCAUUUAGAAAUAUA